rnacentral:rRNA from 1 species
GUGCCAGCAGCCGCGGUAAUACGUAGGUGGCGAGCGUUGUCCGGAAUUACUGGGCGUAAAGAGCGCGCAGGCGGCUGGUCAAGUCCGACGUGAAAUCUCCCGGCUUAACUGGGAAAUUGCAUCGGAAACUGAUCGGCUUGAAGGUGGGAGAGGGUAGCGGAAUUCCCGGUGUAGUGGUGAAAUGCGUAGAUAUCGGGAGGAACACCAGUGGCGAAGGCGGCUACCUGGCCCAUUCUUGACGCUGAGGCGCGAAAGCUAGGGGAGCAAACGGGAUUAGAUACCCCAGUAGUCC